rnacentral:rRNA from 1 species
UACGAAGGGGGCUAGCGUUGCUCGGAAUUACUGGGCGUAAAGGGCGCGUAGGCGGGUCGUUUAGUUAGAGGUGAAAGCCCAGGGCUCAACCCUGGAAUUGCCUUUAAUACUGGCGACCUAGAGUAUGACAGAGGUGUGUGGAACUCCGAGUGUAGAGGUGAAAUUCGUAGAUAUUCGGAAGAACACCAGUGGCGAAGGCGACACACUGGGUCAUUACUGACGCUGAGGCGCGAAAGCGUGGGGAGCAAACAGG